CCACCCUCCCCACCCGUGGCUGCCUUCCAGGCCAGAUCCCGCAGGCUGACCUCUCUCCCUCUUCUGCAUAAAUGAAAUUUCUGACAAGCAUGGCCUGAAGCACCCUUGGCACCGAAGAGCUAACGUCUCGAUGUGGCCAGAGAAACCUCCCUCCAACUUCACAGUGAGAACAGAAUGAGGGCGUCCAAGGCUCUCCAAGGGGGAAGAGCUCAGGUCAUACUGCCAAUGAAUGGCCAAGCGGAGAUUCAAGCCAAGAUGUCCGUGGGCACCUGCAGUCCCCCACAUCUGCCGCUCACUGCCUGCCCCUUGCUGGAUGCCUGCCUCAUUGGAUGGAUCAUCUGGCCACCCAGGCACCCAGGGGCAGCUCCAGGAUUUUUAUG